rnacentral:rRNA from 1 species
AUUGAACGCUGGCGGCAGGCCUAACACAUGCAAGUCGAGCGGGGAAAGGUAGCUUGCUCCUUGAUUCAGCGGCGGACGGGUGAGUAAUGCCUAGGAAUCUGCCUAUUAGUGGGGGAUAACGUCCGGAAACGGGCGCUAAUACCGCAUACGUCCUGAGGGAGAAAGUGGGGGAUCUUCGGACCUCGCGCUAUCAGAUGAGCCUAGGUCGGAUUAGCUAGUUGGUGGGGUAAAGGCCUACCAAGGCGACGAUCCGUAACUGGUCUGAGAGGAUGAUCAGUCACCCUGGAACUGAGACACGCUCCAGCCUCCUCCGGGAGGAACAAGUGGGGAAUAUUGGAAAAUGGGCGAAAGCUUGAUCCAGCAAUGCCGCGUGUGUGAAGAAGGUCUUUGGAUUGUAAACACUUUAAAGUAGGGAGGAAGGACCGUAAGUAAUUCUCUUGCUGUUUUGACGUUACCCACAGAAUAAGCACCGGCUAACUCCGUG